GGGAACGCCAAUGGCGAAGGCAGCUGACUGGGCAUGUUCUGACGCUCAGGUACGAAAGCGUGGGUAGCGAACGGGAUUAGAUACCCCGGUAGUCCACGCCGUAAACGAUGGAUACUAGCUGUGGGGACUUCGGUCUCCGUGGCCAAGCGAAAGUGAUAAGUAUCCCACCUGGGGAGUACGUUCGCAAGAAUGAAACUCAAAGGAAUUGACGGGGGCCCGCACAAGCGGUGGAGCAUGUGGUUUAAUUCGAUGAUACGCGAGGAACCUUAC
rnacentral:rRNA from 14 species